rnacentral:rRNA from 1 species
CAGUAGCCGCGGGAAAACGAAGGGUGCAAGCGUUACUUGGAAUUACUGGGCGUAAAGCGUGCGUAGGUGGUGGUUUAAGUCCGUUGUGAAAGCCCUGGGCUCAACCUGGGAAUUGCAGUGGAUACUGGGUCACUAGAGUGUGGUAGAGGAUAGUGGAAUUUCCGGUGUAGCAGUGAAAUGCGUAGAGAUCGGAAGGAACAUCUGUGGCGAAGGCGACUAUCUGGGCCAACACUGACACUGAGGCACGAAAGCGUGGGGAGCAAACAGGAUUAGAUACCCCUGUAGUCCCUGUCUCUUAUAC